rnacentral:rRNA from 1 species
CAGCAGUGGGGAAUCUUGGACAAUGGGGGCAACCCUGAUCCAGCCAUGCCGCGUGGACGAUGAAGGCCUUAGGGUUGUAAAGUCCUUUCGCCAGGGAAGAUAAUGACGGUACCUGGUAAAGAAGCCCCGGCUAACUCCGUGCCAGCAGCCGCGGUAAUACGGAGGGGGCUAGCGUUGUUCGGAAUUACUGGGCGUAAAGCGCACGUAGGCGGAUCAGUCAGUCAGGGGUGAAAUCCCGGGGCUCAACCCCGGAACUGCCUUUGAUACUGCUGGUCUGGAGGUCGAGAGAGGUGAGUGGAAUUCCGAGUGUAGAGGUGAAAUUCGUAGAUAUUCGGAGGAACACCAGUGGCGAAGGCGGCUCACUGGCUCGAUACUGACGCUGAGGUGCGAAAGCGUGGGGAGCAAACAGGAUUAGA